rnacentral:lncRNA from 1 species
UUGAAAACAUACAGAAUAUCGGAAGAAAUUUAGAGAGAGAAAGUAGAGAGAAGGGAGAGCAUCGAGGAGUCUCGAAGAAGACUCAAAGUCUUUCAAUCAAAAAUGACCCCCUUACAAUAAUAGCCUAUUUACAUGACAUAGCCUAAUUACAAUAGUAGCGUAUUUACACACUUGACCUAUUUACAGAGUAUAUAAACAAAUUACAAAAUCAGCCUAAUUGCAC